CAGGCUUAACACAUGCAAGUCGAGGGGCAGCAUGGUCUUAGCUUGCUAAGGCCGAUGGCGACCGGCGCACGGGUGAGUAACACGUAUCCAACCUGCCGUCUACUCUUGGACAGCCUUCUGAAAGGAAGAUUAAUACAAGAUGGCAUCAUGAGUCCGCAUGUUCACAUGAUUAAAGGUAUUCCGGUAGACGAUGGGGAUGCGUUCCAUUAGAUAGUAGGCGGGGUAACGGCCCACCUAGUCUUCGAUGGAUAGGGGUUCUGAGAGGAAGGUCCCCCACAUUGGAACUGAGACACGGUCCAAACUCCUACGGGAGGCAGCAGUGAGGAAUAUUGGUCAAUGGGCGAGAGCCUGAACCAGCCAAGUAGCGUGAAGGAUGACUGCCCUAUGGGUUGUAAACUUCUUUUAUAAAGGAAUAAAGUCGGGUAUGGAUACCCGUUUGCAUGUACUUUAUGAAUAAGGAUCGGCUAACUCCGUGCCAGCAGCCGCGGUAAUACGGAGGAUCCGAGCGUUAUCCGGAUUUAUUGGGUUUAAAGGGAGCGUAGAUGGAUGUUUAAGUCAGUUGUGAAAGUUUGCGGCUCAACCGUAAAAUUGCAGUUGAUACUGGAUAUCUUGAGUGCAGUUGAGGCAGGCGGAAUUCGUGGUGUAGCGGUGAAAUGCUUAGAUAUCACGAAGAACUCCGAUUGCGAAGGCAGCCUGCUAAGCUGCAACUGACAUUGAGGCUCGAAAGUGUGGAUAUCAAACAGGAUUAGAUACCCUGGUAGUCCACACGGUAAACGAUGAAUACUCGCUGUUUGCGAUAUACUGCAAGCGGCCAAGCGAAAGCGUUAAGUAUUCCACCUGGGGAGUACGCCGGCAACGGUGAAACUCAAAGGAAUUGACGGGGGCCCGCACAAGCGGAGGAACAUGUGGUUUAAUUCGAUGAUACGCGAGGAACCUUACCCGGGCUUAAAUUGCAGAUGAAUUACGGUGAAAGCCGUAAGCCGCAAGGCAUCUGUGAAGGUGCUGCAUGGUUGUCGUCAGCUCGUGCCGUGAGGUGUCGGCUUAAGUGCCAUAACGAGCGCAACCCUUGUUGUCAGUUACUAACAGGUUCCGCUGAGGACUCUGACAAGACUGCCAUCGUAGGAUGUGAGGAAGGUGGGGAUGACGUCAAAUCAGCACGGCCCUUACGUCCGGGGCUACACACGUGUUACAAUGGGGGGUACAGAGGGCCGCUACCACGCGAGUGGAUGCCAAUCCCCAAAACCUCUCUCAGUUCGGACUGGAGUCUGCAACCCGACUCCACGAAGCUGGAUUCGCUAGUAACCGCGCAUCAGCCACGGCGCGGUGAAUACGUUCCCGGGCCUUGUACACACCGCCCGUCAAGCCAUGGGAGCCGGGGGUACCUGAAGUGCGUAACCGCGAGGAGCGCCCUAGGGUAAAACUGGUGACUGGGGCUAAGU
rnacentral:rRNA from 1 species